rnacentral:rRNA from 1 species
UACGUAGGGUGCAAGCGUUGUCCGGAAUUACUGGGCGUAAAGAGCUCGUAGGCGGUUUGUCGCGUCUGCUGUGAAAACUCGGGGCUUAACCCCGGGCCUGCAGUGGGUACGGGCAGACUAGAGUGCGGUAGGGGAGACUGGAAUUCCUGGUGUAGCGGUGAAAUGCGCAGAUAUCAGGAGGAACACCAAUGGCGAAGGCAGCACUCUGGGACGUGACUGACGCUGAGACGCGAAAGCGUGGGGAGCAAACAGG